rnacentral:misc_RNA from 1 species
GAUGAAGAACGUAGUGAAAUGCGAUAAGUAAUGCGAAUUGCAGAAUCCGUGAGUCAUCGAAUCUUUGAACGCACAUUGCGCCCUCUGGUAUUCCGGAGGGCAUGCCUGUUCGAGCGUCAUUAUCACCCCCCAAGCCCGGCUUGUUGUUGGAUGCAGCGCUUAUCCCGCUCCUCCCAAAGAUAAUGACGGCGUCUGCGACGACUCCUGUACACUGAGCUUUCGGGCACGUACACGGCUAGAAGUCCAGACCCGGUCGCCGUCCCCCCCCGCGGGGACACCCAUUACCACAAGGUUGACCUCGGAUCAGGUAGGAAUACCCGCUGAACUUAAGCAUAUCAAUAAGCGGAGGA